rnacentral:lncRNA from 1 species
UUCAGGAGAGAAGGGCAACCCUGGUGAGGGAGUUGAUGGCUUGCAUGGAGAACAGGGUAAUCACGGAAUCCCAGGGUCAUCUGGAGAAAAAGGAAAUAGGGGAAAUCGGGGCUUGACGGGACUGCCAGGACAACCUGGAGAGCGUGGAGAGCCUGGGUUAAGGGGAGAUCCUGGGGAUCCUGGAACUAAUAGCUAUAUCCAAGGCCCUAAGGGAGAAAAAGGAAGGCGUGGGCGUCAGGGAAGUUCUAAUGUUGAUGGACCUCAGGGAGAAACUGGAAAUGUCGGCCCUUGGGGGACAAUAGGAAGGCGAGGUCUGCCAGGAUUAAAGGGACCAAGAGGAAGGCAAGGACCACCAGGAACUUCUGGACAAAAAGGCUUAGUGGGUGCUCAGGGGAAUCCUGGGCCUCCAGGGCCAAAUGGUUCAAAAGGAAAAGCUGGACCAAGAGGAGUGAAGGGAGAGAUUGGUGAUGUAGGAGAAAGAGGCCCACAGAGUCGACAAGGACCAAGAGGGCAACCUGGUCUUCCUGGUUCUGAUGGAUAAGGACAUCCAGGAACAAAAGGAACAAAGGGUGAACAUGGAUUCCCUGGCUAUCCUGGUGCACAAGGAGAAGAUGGUGACCCGGGCCAUCAAGGAGAAAAGGGGGCAAAGGGAAUAAGAGGGAAGAGGGGUAAUGCUGGCUUUCCUGGAUUUGUUGGAACUUCGGGUGACCAAGGCCCACCAGGACAAAUGGUAAUAUG